UCUGACCUGAUUUUUCAGUAGGAAACCAACUUCUUAGCCAGAUGGGGUCUGUUCUGAAUGUGUAAUUGGUGCUAAAUACAUAUCUUUUAAAUCAAAUUUACUCUUGCUCUAGCUGCUUGAUUUUUUGGGGCAAUGGAAACAUAUAAUUACAAUCAUGCUGAACUGCAUUUGUUUUUAGAAAGCUUCAAUGUUUGAUUUUUAGAAUAAAAUAAGCUUUAUUUUUUACUCAUUCUUUUGCUCUCUGUUAAAACCUUCAUUCCAGGAUGAUCUACCUCGGGAGCACAGAUUACAGGGUUUUGCAUACCAGUGAAACUAGUGACAUCGGCUGGUCUAAAGGACCCCACAAGCAGUUGACUCAAAGAACAAAGUUUCCAAGUUCUGAUUUUCAUACCCCUUCCUCGAUCAAUCAACAACCACAAUUUUCUAGCCCCUUGCCCUUCAUAAUUCUCUUAAAAACCCCAGCCCAGAACCCCUCAGAGAUGGAUUCGAGGGUCUCCUUCCAUCUCCUUGCUCAGCCACCCUACAAUCAUUAAAG
rnacentral:lncRNA from 1 species